AUGGCCCGUACUAAGCAGACUGCUCGUAAGUCCACUGGAGGAAAGGCUCCUAGGAAGCAGCUAGCCACCAAGGCUGCCCGUAAGUCUGCUCCCACAACUGGAGGAGUGAAGAAGCCUCACCGUCACCGCCCUGGAACUGUUGCUCUUCGAUUGAGAUCCGCAAGUACCAGUAGAGCACGGAGCUACUCAUCAGGAAGCUUCCAUUCCAGAGGCUUGUUAGGGAGAUUGCCCAGGACUUCAAGACUGACCUCCGCUUCCAGAGCCAUGCGGUGCUGGCCCUUCAGGAGGCUGCAGAGACCUACCUGGUGGGUCUCUUCAAGGAUCCGUGGCGAGAGGGCUUAA
rnacentral:rRNA from 1 species